GAUCCUGCGUCAGGAUGAACGCUAGCUACAGGCUUAACACAUGCAAGUCGAGGGGCGAGCAUGGUCUUAGCUUGCUAAGGCUGAUGGCGACCGGCGCACGGGUGAGUAACACGUAUCCAACCUGCCGUCUACUCUUGGGCCAGCCUUCUGAAAGGAAGAUUAAUCCAGGAUGGGAUCAUGAGUUCGACAUGUCCGNAUGAUUAAAGGUAGUUUUCCGGUCGACGAUGGGGAUG
rnacentral:rRNA from 1 species